CCCUCAGCCCCGGGCGUGAGAAAACUCCGUCCGCAACCCACUUGUGUGCGGUGGGAGCGAACUCUCCUUUAAUUUUGAAAGCCGGAAAAUCCGCUUUUGCGAUUAAAGCAAGGUGGGAGUAUGUGGGAAAAUGUUCAGCGUAUCCAAACAUUGCACUUAAGUGAGAGGCACUUCAGUUCAGAUCUCAAUGACGGACUUUGUGAGAAGAUGCUUCUUCAGAUAGUUCAAGAUUCCCUAACAUUGCACAAAGACCUGAAAUAUAAUUACACUCAAAAGAUGAGUAGAGA